UCGAGGUAUUGUUUUUUAUUAAUAAGAUUAUUUAAGAUUCAUGUUGCACUGCACUUUGGCUAUUGUGGGUACCUGUAUUGAUCACCAUAUAUUGCAAAUAUAAACUUCCCUGCUGAGGUUUGAGAGAUGCAUUAAAAUAGGGAUCCAAAGCGAAGUCAUAGGAGCCAGUUUAAUACUGUGUGCAUUUAGCAGAAUGAGAAUAGUAGUUCUUCAUCAAGAAUCUUGUCCUAAAGAAUAAUAAUAUGUUAGUUAUCCAUCUAUCAAUAAAUGUUAGGCAAUCUAUUACAGGGAUCUUAUGAUUGUCAUCUUAUUUAUUGCAUUCAUAUGUUCCAUCAGAUAAUCAUGGGCUCCUGUAUAUUCUGAUUAGACUGUCAUUCUACAUGAUGGUUUUCUUGCUCAUUUUCCUCAUCCAUUCUUGGUGCCAUGCAAAAAGGAAUGUACAUCAAGAAGAAGGCAGUGAGUGUCAUCUGAGUAGCAUGAGAAACUGAACCUGGAGGAAUACAGGACCCUGAAGGAAAAUAAAUGCAGAAUGUGACAUGCACAGAAUUUAAUCAGUGGAUCUUCAAACAGCAAUAUAACAGGACCAGUUCCUCACAGCACAAUGAAGCCUCCACAUGCAUCAGGGUGUGCAUGGGAGUUAUUAAAUGACAGGCUGGGAUCAAAGAGUGUUGGUACCCUAUGAGUUCUCAAAGAAAGAUAUCAGGAAUUUUUCUGUAAAGACCACAGCCAUUUUGGAAGCAAAAAUGAAUAGAUGCAGUGAAACAAUUGCUGAAAUCAUAGGAUAGAAGUCUCUAACUUUGGUACCAUCUGUCAUUGUUCUGAAAUGGAACUGAAUGUGGAUUUACUAUAUUUAAAUGCUAUGGUUCUCACUUUUCCUUUGGAGAGAAAUCAAACUAUAAAAUGAAAUUAGACUUGAAAUGUUAAAGCCUGCUAAAGGUUCAUCUUUGUAAUUGCCUAGUCUUGCACAACUUUAAAAAAACUUCUUUGCAUGUUUCUGUAAAUUAAAGCUUGCUUUGUACCAGAUGACCUUCUGUUUGCCUGAAGAUAGAGUGUAAUGUUAGUUACUCUGCCUUUAAAAUCCCCUGAUUGAGGUAUCUUGGGGCUGCCUUUGAGAGCCCCAAGUCUCAGGUAUAUAUCUGCUGUCAGUAUGUGAAUAAAAGCCUUUGCUUUCUUAAAAUUUAUUAAUGAUCAGAGAAGUGAAUCUCUGAAUGAGCCCACACGCAUAACACCAUGAUCCUGUAAGUAAUCAUAAUAACCCUCAUAGUUCAAUAAAUUAGACCUGUCUGGAUCAUUUAUUGGAUCUGUCAUUGGUGCCCUAUCUGCUAGAAUCAAGAGAUGAAUGCUCAUGUUUUACCAGAAAGAUUCACACACCCUUUGUACACACUAACAAUCUUAAAUUCAUUUUUUUGUUGCUGUGAUAAAACCCAUGAUCAAAAGCUAAUUGAGGUAAAGGGUUUAUUUGGCUCAUGUAUCUUAAACAUCCCAGGUCACAAUCCAUUGAGGGAAGCCAAGGCAAGAACAGGGAUGAAAGAACUGAAGCAGAUGCAAUGAAGUUUCACCACAUACUUGAAUGUUCUUAAUGGCUUGGUCAGCCUGCAUUACUCUGCAAUUUAUGAUGACCUGGCAAGAAGUGAAACUACUCACAGAGGUCUAGGCCCUUCCCACAUCAACCUUGAAACAAGAAAAUUCCCAACAGAUUGCCUCCAGGCAAUUUUUGUGGAUGCAUCUUCUCAAUUGAUAGGCCCAAAUGACCAUAUCUUGUUUCAAACUGACAAAAAUAAAUAAAUAAAUAAAUAAAUAAAUAAAUAAAUAAAUAAAUGGGACAAUAAA